UUUAAAUUUUGUUAUUAGAAAUAACUAUACAAAUUUUGGUUUGAGUAUUUUAUAAAGAAAAAAUAAUUUUUAUAAUAGUUAAUUAGUAUUGUGAAAGAAAAUUGAAAUAAUUUGAAAAAUUUUUAUAGAAAAAGAAAAUUUAAUUUGUUGUACCUUGUGUAUCAGGGUUUAUCAAUUAAAAAAUAAAUAUUUAUUUUUCUCGAUUUUAGAAGAGUUAAUAAAUUAUUAAAGUUAUUGUGAUAAAAUUAUUUUAAAUAAUUUAUUAGAAAUGAAACGUUAUUCGUUUUUAAUGGUAUCUAGUUUUUUUAGAAAUAAAUUUAAUUUAGAAUUUAUUAAGUAAAUAUUUAGUUAAAUUAAUUAUUUAUUUAAAUAAGUUUAAUAUACUAUGGGAUAAGCUGUGGUAUAAAUUUUUAAAAAUUUUAUAUAUUUACAAAAAUGUAUGCUUAGAAUUAGCAAUCUUUAAUAAGUUUGUUAUAAAUUAUUUGUAGAUAGUUAUAAUUUAUUAUGUUUUAAUUAUAUAUAAAAAUAUUUUUUUGAAUUUUUUAAAAAAAGUAAUAAUGAUAAAAUUAGUAUAUUAUAUUGUUAGUAAAAUUUAAAAAGAAAAGUUUAUUUAAAGAAUUCGGCAAAUUUUAUGCUCGCCUGUUUAACAAAAACAUGUCUUUUUGUGUUAAUUUUAAAGUCUGACCUGCCCACUGAAUUUUAAAUGGCCGCAGUAUCCUAACUGUGCAAAGGUAGCAUAAUCAUUAGUCUUUUAAUUGAAGGCUGGUAUGAAUGGUUGGACGAGGUAUAAGCUGUUUCAAUUAAAUUUAUUAUAGAAUUUUAUUUUUUAGUUAAAAAGCUAAAAUUUUGUUAAAAGACGAGAAGACCCUAUAAAUCUUUAUUUUUGUGAAAAUUUUAAUUAUAAAGAUACAUUUUGUUAUAAUUUUUACAAAAAUUUUAUUGGGGUGAUAUUAAAAUUUAAUAAACUUUUAAUUAUUAAAAGACAUUGAUUUAUGAAUAAUUGAUCCAUUAAUAAUGAUUAAAAAUUUAAGUUACUUUAGGGAUAACAGCGUAAUUUUUUUGGAGAGUUCAUAUCGAUAAAAAAGAUUGCGACCUCGAUGUUGGAUUAAGAAAAAUUUUAGGUGUAGCCGCUUAAAUGUUAAGUCUGUUCGACUUUUAAAUUCUUACAUGAUCUGAGUUCAGACCGGCGUAAGCCAGGUUGGUUUCUAUCUUUAAUUCAUUAUAAUAUUUUAGUACGAAAGGACCAAAUAUUAGAAUAAUUAUAUUUUUUAAUAAGAAUAUUAUUAAUGAGA
rnacentral:rRNA from 1 species